AGCCCUCCUCGGCCCCGAAGGGCCAGAAGCCGGAGCCGGGGCUUGCCAUGGCGAAGGCGAACCGGCGGGGCGGGCGCGGAGCGGCGAACUGCAGCCCCGGCGGCCCGAGCGACUGUGCGUGAGCGCGGCGGGCGGGUGGAUGGCAAGAUGCACCUUGGGAGCCGCCUCUGACAGGCUGGAAUGGUGACCUGGCACCAGGUGUUACCGUGAAGCAAGAUUAAAAACAAAACUCAAUUAUUUUGCAAGUGUAUUGCUUUGAAAUAAUUACAAACAUUUCUAGUGUUCUACCCUAGAGGUGUACCCCACCAGUGGUCCUACAACAGCAUCAGAGGAUGCAACUGACAUCAGAAAAAGAGCUGCAACAGACCAGACAUGGGGGACAUGGGCAUUAAGUGGAUCCUUUAAGCAGUGGCAUAAUCAAGUGCAAUUUAAACUGUGACUGAAUGAAGCUAGAUGCUCUGAGCACAUACUGUGUUCAUGUAAUGCAUUUCACUUCUUUUAAGAUAUGUAUUUUAGAUACAGAGUUUGUAUUCUGCAACUUCAGCUGAGGAUAGUGCUAAGAGCUCAUUUGUCUUGCAUGUGUGACCUGGCUACCAUAGCAGGCAUACUGUGGUACCACAGCAAUGUCACUGGGGAGCAGCAGUAAAGUAUGGAAACACCAAUAAAAUAAAGCUACGAUGUACGUCAAAAGCUGUGAACCAUGUCUACAGCACACAUAAGGAUCUAAGAUACAGAAAGGCAGAAUAUAUCUAUUGCUUGCUUUAUUUUUGCAGAGAUCCAUCAAAAUGGGUUAGUUACACUGUAAAGACUUCUAGUUGAAAUUUCAAGGACUAUUCUUCUUUACCUGUUAUUAAUAAUUAAUGUUUUAUUUUUUAUGAUCUAUUUCCAGUCAUAUAUUUUUAGGUGAGAAUUUUAAGAGUCUUUGUAUUUUUGCUAACAAAAAAGAACUGGUUCCUCAUUUGCUUUGACUGGAAUUUAAAGCACCUUCAAUUACUUUCUGUGUCAGAACUAUCUUUGAUGUGGACCUUAUCUUAUUAUUAUGCUUGUGUUGCCAUGGUAAAGGGCCAUGCUGUGGUAAAAACUGAAUGACUGAAUUGUAUAAUGGGUUUUUGUGGCUGAAAAUUGCCUAUUUUAACUUUGUAUAUGAUGUCCUUCCUGUGAAUCACCAAAUUACCAUGCUUUUUCUUUUUUUUUUUUCAUGCUUUAUUCUCCUGGUUGAAGUAAAGCUAAGAACUAUUCAAGAGUACUAAAAUGACAAUAGCGAGAUAAUGA